AAGUGCUAGUGGGGAAAUUUUCUGAUUUUUGGUUGGGAAACAAAAAAGGGAAAAAGGAAAAGAGAAAGUCAUGGUCAAUCCCCAUUAAUGGUGUCUUCCUCCUCACUCCACCAUGUCCAUUUGGCACCCAUGCCUUCACUUUCUUCUCCUUCUUCAGUCAAAUCUGUCACCAAUCCUCACAAAAGCUUCCUCAAGUUAACGAAAUCAGAUUAUUUACUUCACCAUCUUCCUCCCAACCACUGAUUUUUAACUCCAAACUUUCCCUAUAAAUAGUGAUGAAUUCAACAUCAAGAACACACCAACAACAACCUUCAUCAUCUCUUCUCUCUAAUCAGAAAUUCAGUCAAUAAUCGCCGGAAAUUGUAACUAAAAGAAAUCAAAAAAGAAAAGAAAAGAGAAAAUCCCAAAUUCAUAAUAUCUCUCCUCUGUUUCGAACCCCCCACAGCCGACCACCGUCGGCCACCGCGCGCGCCACCUGUGCCGCGCACAGUCCCGCCCCCACCUCGUCACUCGCCGGUCAUCAGCCCGCCGCCGGAGAUCCGCGCCAGCACCUUCACGUUCGCUCUCUCUCUCUCUCCUCGCGCACUCCCUCUCCUCCUCGCGCUCUCUCUCGUCACUCUCCUUCGUCGCGCCAGCAGCACGAGCACAACGCCACCGCCUCGCCGUCGCACUGCCGCCGUUCGCCGGAGACGCUGCACGCCGGAGCUCGCAGCUCCCUCGCCUCACUCGUGGUCCUCCCUGCUCCUAGUAGCAGAGAUUAAGGAAGAUAAAGGAUAUUACAAGCUUCCCCCAGCUAUCAAGGUUAUCAAGCAGGAAUUCAGAAUCUUCCUCAUCUUCAGUGCGACGUCGUUUUGAAGACUCAGAGGAUAUUGUAAUCUCAUUCCCAUGACCCAAAGCAUCCAAAAACAAUUUAUCUACCUCCGAUAAUUCAUGUGCAAGUGCAGUUUCAGAUGAGGAGGGGCUCAGAUGGCCUAUAUUUGAACCAUAUUCAUUAAUAAUCGGAGGGAAUGCAGGAGGCAGAAUGGUAGUACGUAGAGUUUGUAGCGCUUCAACAUAUUCAGGUCAUUUCUCUUCGAUCUUCACUAGUGCUGCUGCAGUCACGCACUCACACUCACGCUCAUGCUAACGCCUCACUCCGGCACCGGACCACCACGCCAGAAGUCAGUCGGACCACCGAGCAGCCGGACCACCGCGCCAGAGCAGCGAGCUUUGCCAGGUAAGCCCUCGUUUCUAUCUGAUUUUCGCCGGAACCCAAUUUUUCUUGACAGCGCACAUUGCAGUCGAUGUUAGGGCUUGUUGUGAGUUCGUUUUUAUGUUGUCAUUCCCCCCUUUCUUACUUCGUGAGUCUUGUUUUUUUGCUGUCAUUCCCCCCUUUUUUUAAUCUCUCUACUUUAAUUAUAGUAUUGAAAUUUUGUUGUCUUUAUUGAUGGGUGGUAAUUUAGUAAAUGGUAAUCGGGUAAUACUGUAAUAGACUAUAUUUUAAGCAGGUUUAAUAACGACUUUAUAAAUGAGAUUUAAUAAGUAUAAUAGCUGAUAUUUUCAAACUCGUUUUAGUGCAGUUAGCUAUGUUCAUAUUAGUAAAGAAAUUACUUUGAGAAUUAUUAUUUAUCGUCUAAAGUAAGUUCCAAGCACAAAUAAGUUAGUAUGGAUUUUAUAUAAUAGAGAUAUUGAGUUGAGGAUUUUAAGCUUUGAAAUAAAGAGAAACCCAUUUUAAUUACAAUUUAUCUCUCCUCACUCAUGUCAUCUACUAGAUGCUAAAGCAUCACUCUCUCUUCUUCAUAACUUCUCAAUCAAGUGCCAAAGUGUAUUUUCCCAUAACCAAUUGUUUCUC